GGGGGCACCCUGAUCCGCCAUGCCGCGGUGUGUGAAGAAGGCUUUCGGGUUGUAAAGCACUUUCAGUAGGGAGGAAAACCUUAUGGCUAAUACCCAUGAGGCUUGACGUUACCUACAGAAGAAGCACCGGCUAACUCCGUGCCAGCAGCCGCGGUAAUACGA
rnacentral:rRNA from 1 species